UGGGGAAUAUUGGACAAUGGGCGAAAGCCUGAUCCAGCCAUGCCGCGUGUGUGAAGAAGGUCUUCGGAUUGUAAAGCACUUUAAGUUGGGAGGAAGGGCAUUAACCUAAUACGUUAGUGUUUUGACGUUACCGACAGAAUAAGCACCGGCUAACUCUGUGCCAGCAGCCGCGGUAAUACAGAGGGUGCAAGCGUUAAUCGGAAUUACUGGGCGUAAAGCGCGCGUAGGUGGUUUGUUAAGUUGGAUGUGAAAUCCCCGGGCUCAACCUGGGAACUGCAUUCAAAACUGACUGACUAGAGUAUGGUAGAGGGUGGUGGAAUUUCCUGUGUAGCGGUGAAAUGCGUAGAUAUAGGAAGGAACACCAGUGGCGAAGGCGACCACCUGGAC
rnacentral:rRNA from 1 species